rnacentral:rRNA from 1 species
GACGAACGCUGGCGGCGUGCUUAACACAUGCAAGUCAACUGUGGCGGACGGGUGAGUAACGCGUAAAGAACUUGCCUCACAGAUAGGGACAACAUUUGGAAACGAAUGCUAAUACCUGAUACUGUGAGAGAGCUUUGCGUCCCAUUAGCUAGUUGGAGAGGUAACGGCUCACCAAGGCGAUGAUGGGUAGCCGGCCUGAGAGGGUGAUCGGCCACAAGGGGACUGAGGAACGGGCCUUACGCAUACGGGAGGAAGGAGUGGGGAAUAGUGGAAAAUGGACCAAAGUCUGAUCCAGCAAUUCUGUGUGAACGAUGAAGUUUUCGGAAUGUAAAGUGCUUUCAGUUGGGAAGCGGUACCAACAGAAGAAGUGACGGCUAAAUACGUGCCAGCAGCCGCGGUAAUAC